GGGGAUGUAAAAGCAUGCCCGUUUGUGUCUCUCAUCGGAAGAGUACUAUCUCAGCUGUUGACAUUGACUUUCAGUUUAACGUUUAACCUUACUGAAGGAAGAGACACGGGGUUUUGGCUUUAUCCGCAAUUGAAAACAUCAGCUGAAAAGUUGAAAAACAUCGCAUUUUGAAUCUUGGAUUUACAGCAGUGAUUGAAAAUCAGCACAAUGAUUCGCCUACAAAGACCAACUGGUGGUGACGGUGAGGAUGAGAAAAAGAAAAUGGAAGAGGAGACCAAGAUGGCACGCCUAGUUACUCUCCAGAAUGUGGUUGGUUUUGCAGUUAUUUGUGGAUUAAUUCGUGCAGGUCCGUGGAUAGCCCAAAAUGUGUUCUAAUGUGAUUGCAUAUCAACAACCAGCCUACGCUGUCAUGUGGAGAAUGUGUGACAAAGCCUGCAGUGUCCAUCUAUCCCUGCAGAGGAGUUAAAAUGUGUGUGCGGUCUCUUGCCUUAUGUGUUGGCGGGGUGAAUGUUUGUCGGAGAGAUUAUGUCGUCAAGUUCCAUAGAUCGAUGUACAGCUGCUCCCAUUUGUACAUAGUCAAGGCAUCUCUGUUCCAAAGGAAUUAAACUUUAACAGAUCUCAGA